UACGGGAGGCAGCAGUGGGGAAUAUUGCACAAUGGGCGCAAGCCUGAUGCAGCCAUGCCGCAUGUAUGAAGAAGGCCUUCGGGUUGUAAAGUACUUUCAGUCGUGAGGAAGGUGUUAAGGUUAAUAACCUUAGCAAUUGACGUUAGCGACAGAAGAAGCACCGGCUAACUCCGUGCCAGCAGCCGCGGUAAUACGGAGGGUGCGAGCGUUAAUCGGAAUUACUGGGCGUAAAGGGCACGCAGGCGGUUAAUUAAGUUGGAUGUGAAAUCCCCGGGCUUAACCUGGGAAUGGCAUUCAAGACUGGUUAGCUAGAGUCUUGUAGAGGGGGUAGAAUUCCAUGUGUAGCGGUGAAAUGCGUAGAGAUGUGGAGGAAUACCGGUGGCGAAGGCGGCCCCUGGGACAAAGACUGACGCUCAUGUGCGAAAGCGUGGGGAGCAAACAGGAUUAAUACC
rnacentral:rRNA from 1 species